CCCUUGGAGUACUAUAUCAAACAAGAGUAGAUUAACUUAGGAUAAUCGAAAUAGGGUACGACGAACAGGGAA
rnacentral:sRNA from 16 species